GCUACGUCACGUCAAAAACAUCGGCAGCAAACCAGGAAGGAUGGACAUAUUGAUGUUUGUCAAUGAUCAAAUUAAAGGGUUCAGAAUUUAAAAAGACUUUUCUGAACCGUCCAAGGACGCAGAGCCUGGAGAUGUAAUCAUUUUACGUAAUGACAGAAUACUAAGGGCGCCUACCUAUCAUGCUGGAGUUUGUUGUGCUGAUGGAGAGGUCAUACACUUGUCAGAUAGCAGUGGAGGUGUGAUGAAAUCAAAACCUGGAAAUGUUUGUAGGCAAAAUAUUAAUGGGUUUACACAAGGAAAACCAUACAGGCUUUUGCAGAAAGAAGAUCCCCUCCCUGCUUCAUUUGAAACCAAAGUCAAGCAAGCAAUGAAUUCAGACCAAUGUCAUGAUAAAACAAAACACAAUUGCAUUGACUUUUCUCUUGAUCUGAUUGAAUUCAAGUCGAAGAAUUUGACCAAUUCAAGUUCUGCAAAACUUCAAGGAUCAACACCUGAAGAUCAUAAGGAGGGUUUUCCUUCUCACCAGACACAGCACCCAUCACCAAUCAAGGACAACUCUGAAGGAUGUACUGAGGACAGGAUCCCUCUUGUAUCCCCACCUCCACAGAAUGUUGGAGAACCUCCACAGGACUAUGAAUCCAUUAAGCAGAAACUGUAAUGGAUCACCACCACUAAGCAUGGAUGAGGAAGAAGGAAGAUUUAAUCAAAUCAAAGUUGAUCUGUAUAGUCCUUUUUAUUUAAUGCUUCACAGACGCUUGACCUAAAAUCUUAAUUACAGCCCAAUAAAACUUGCUUACAUAUUUUUCUUUUUAUUGCAGUAAUGUGUGUUCUAACAUGCCAGUAAAACAUCACAAAUUAAAGCUAAUUAUGAGGAAUGUCUUUCAGAAGGCUCUGAAGGUGCUCAUGCACUUACCCCAAGUGGAAAUGUUUUAUGUAUAAGAAGAAAUUAGAAAACUAGCUAACACAGCCUCAUAGUGGCUGUAGUAUGUAUGUGGGUUUUGUAAAGUGACAACAUGUGUGGGUGUCCUCUGGAUUGAUAAACGGAAUAAUCAAAAUAAACACAUAAUUAAUAUGCUAAUAAAUACAAUUUACAACGA